GCCCGCCGCCCAGGCCGCCGCCUCCUGCCCCGGCCGCCGCCCGCCGCCCGGGCCGCCGCCUCCCGUGCCGCAUGUCCUCGCGCCCAACGGCCGCGGCCAGCUGCGCCACCCGUCCUCGCGCCCGCUGCCAGCCACGCCGCCCGUCCUCGCGACCGCAUCCGGCCUCCUUGCAGCACGACGCGGCCGGCACUACGCGCCCAAGGGCCACCGCCAGACGCGCCCCCUCCUCGCGGUCUUGCCUUCCGUCGUCACGCCCACGGCCGGCCUCCUCACGCUCACGUCCGCGGCCGCCACCACACGCCUGAGGCCACCGCGAACCGCGUUGAUCGGAGCCACCACGUCUUCCUUGACGCGCUACUGCACGUCAACGCCGGAGCUGAGCCCGUGACGCCUUCUGCAGCGACCCUAGGAGCAUCCUGCCACGCCGAAGCUGAGGCUGUGACGCCUUCUGCCUCCACCUCGCGCUUCUGACGCCGUCUUCAAUUAGACUGAGAACCAAACAGUGGAAGAUCAUGAAUUCAGAAUAGAGGCGGUUCAAGACCAUGGGGAGAAACACAACAAUUGCUGGAACAUAAAUUUGGUCCAGAGAAGGCUGGCACUUUAAACACAUCUGCUCAACAUCUUCGGUCAUCCUCAUCUAUGGCAUCAACAAGUGGAUCUGGCUCGCGAGCUCCUCGUCCUCCUCGUGCUGCUGGCGGUACUCCAUCCUCAAGCAUUGGCGCCAGCAGCGCUACAACCCCAACAUUAAGUGUUAUCCCUACUACUACUCCGAGUGGUACGCCAUCGUCAAGUGCUGAAGCUCAACCUGCGGCAGCACAACCAGAACAAGGUAUAGAUCGUGUGGUUAUAGAUGAUGAAGAUGAUGUUCCUUUUGUGAAGAAAAGGAAGCUCAAAUCUGAUGUUUGGCUAGAUUUUGA